rnacentral:rRNA from 1 species
UACGGGGGGGGCAAGCGUUGUUCGGAACUACUGGGCGUAAAGGGCUCGUAGGUGGCCAACUAAGUCAGACGUGAAAUCCCCAGGCUCAACUUGGGAACUGCGUCUGAUACUGGAUGGCUUGAAUUCGGGAGAGGGAUGCAGAAUUCCAGGUGUAGCGGUGAAAUGCGUAGAUAUCUGGAGGAACACCUGUGGCGAAGGCGGCUUUCUGGGCCUUACCUGACGCUGAGACGCGAAAGCGUGGGGAGCGAACCGG